rnacentral:rRNA from 1 species
UUAUCCGGAUUUAUUGGGUUUAAAGGGUGCGUAGGUGGUAAUUUAAGUCAGCGGUGAAAGUUUGUGGCUCAACCAUAAAAUUGCCGUUGAAACUGGGUUACUUGAGUGUGUUUGAGGUAGGCGGAAUGCGUGGUGUAGCGGUGAAAUGCAUAGAUAUCACGCUGAACUCCAAUUGCGAAGGCAGCUUACUAAACCAUAACUGACACUGAAGCACGAAAGCGUGGGUAUCAAACAGGAUUAGAUACCCUGGUAGUCCACGCAGUAAACGAUGAUUACUAGGAGUUUGCGAUACACAGUAAGCUCUACAGCGAAAGCGUUAAGUAAUCCACCUGGGGAGUACGCCGGCAACGGUGAAACUCAAAGGAAUUGACGGGGGCCCGCACAAGCGGAGGAACAUGUGGUUUAAUUCGAUGAUACGCGAGGAA